rnacentral:rRNA from 1 species
AGUAAUGCUUAGGAAUCUGCCUAUUAGUGGGGGACAACAUUCCGAAAGGAAUGCUAAUACCGCAUACGUCCUACGGGAGAAAGCAGGGGAUCUUUUGACCUUGCGCUAAUAGAUGAGCCUAAGUCGGAUUAGCUAGUUGGUGGGGUAAAGGCCUACCAAGGCGACGAUCUGUAGCUGGUCUGAGAGGAUGAUCAGCCACACUGGGACUGAGACACGGCCCAGACUCCUACGGGAGGCAGCAGUGGGGAAUAUUGGACAAUGGGCGAAAGCCUGAUCCAGCCAUGCCGCGUGUGUGAAGAAGGCCUUUUGGUUGUAAAGCACUUUAAGUGGGGAGGAAAAGCUAAUAAUUAAUACCUAUUAGCCCUGACGUUACCCACAGAAUAAGCACCGGCUAACUCUGUGCCAGCAGCCGCGGUAAUACAGAGGGUGCAAGCGUUAAUCGGAAUUACUGGGCGUAAAGCGAGCGUAGGUGGUUACUUAAGUCAGAUGUGAAAGCCCCGGGCUUAACCUGGGAACUGCAUCUGAUACUGGGUAACUAGAGUAGGUGAGAGGGAAGUAGAAUUCCAGGUGUAGCGGUGAAAUG